AAACAAUAAACAGAUAGAUCUCGAUAAAUGAUGUAAUUGAUAUU
rnacentral:guide_RNA from 1 species